AUCUGGUUCCAGUGUGCCUGGCAUGGUGCUUCAGAAUGUCAGACUACCCGCCGGACAUGCUGGAACCACAUUCUGGCCAUGCCUGAACCACCUGCUGGACACCCUGAACCACCUGCCAGAUACGCGUGAACCACUUGAUGGAAACUCCAGAACCACAUGCUGGGCACGCCGGAACCACUUGUCAAGUACACCAGAAUCAGGUGCCGGACAAGCUGCAACCACCUGCUUGACUUGCCGGAACCACUGCUGGACAUGCCAAAAUCACCUGCCAGAAACGCUGGAAACAGGCAGCUUAUAUGCUGGAAAACCCCGCCAGACAUGCAUGAACCACCGGCCGGACACACUGGAACCACCACUCAGACACACUGGAACCACCUGCCAGACAUGCCAGAACCAACUGCCGGACGUGCCGGAAGCACCCACCAGACACACCGGAACCACCUUCUGAACGUACCAGAACCACAUGCCAGUCACACAGGAACCACCUGCCAGACACACCGGAACCAUCUGAGGGAAGUGGCAGAGUCACCCACUGGACAUGACAGAGCCACCUUCUGGACGUGCCGGAACCACCUCACUGACACGCCGGAACCACCUGCCAGACACUUUGGAACCACCUGUUGGAUAUGCCGCAACCAGGCACCCAGUACGCUGAAGCCACCUGCCGAAUAUCCCAGAACCAUGUGCCAGCCACGCUGGAAUCAUGUGAUGGAUACACCAGAAACAGGUACAGCAGAGGCCAGAACCAGGUGCCCGAAAUGCCAGAACCACCUGCUUGACACACCUGAACCACCUGUCAGUCUUGUGAGAACCACUUGACGGAUACACCAGAUGCAGGUGUCACACAUGCCAAAACCAGGUUCCAGACACAUCUGAACCACCUGCCAGUCUUGUGAGUACCACCUGCCAGAUACACCAGACACAGGUGUCGCACAUGCCAAAACCAGGUGCUGACAUGACGGAACCACCUGCAAAACAUGCCAGAACCAGGUGCUGGACAAGCUGGAACCACCUGCCGGACACGUUGAAAUCCCCUGCCGGAUACACCGGAACCACAUGUCACAUGUGCUGGAAUCGCCUACCAGACAUGCCGGGACCACCUGUUGGAUACGCCGGAACCAGGUGCCUGAUUCACUGAAACUACAUGCUGGACACGCCAGAAUCAGGUGUUGGACAUGCAUGGAAAACACACAGGAUAUGUCGAAAUCACCUGCAUGAUAUCCCAUAACAAUGUGCCAGAAAAUAAAGUACCUAGGAUGUGUGAAAUCCUAUUGAGGCAUAUUCAUAUAAUGCAUUUAUUAUCAUCUUUCUCGCUUUUUCUGUUUUAUUGUUAUUAUCAUUUUUUUUUUAGGAAGAUUAGCCCUGACUAACAUCUACCACCAAUCCUCCUCUUUUUGCUGAGGAAGACUGGCCCUGAGCUAGCAUCCAUGCCCAUCUUCCUCUACUUUAUAUGUGGGACUCCUGCCACAGCAUGGCUUGAUGAGUGGUGCGUAGGUCUGCACCCAGGAUCUGAACCGGCAAACUCCAGGCCACUGAAGGAGAACAUGCAAACCUAACCACUGUGCCACCAGGCCAGCCCCAAGCUUUCUGUUUUUUUAAAGCAAUUUCAAUUCUUGCUUUUGUUUCACCAGCAGUGGUAUCAUCAUCUUGGACAGUUCCUCCAGAGUCACAGUAUCUAGAAUUUGGAACAUUUUUGUUGCUUGUUUGGAUAAGUGAUGUCAGAAUGUCUAGUAAAUCUUCCCUAGGAGAACUGUCUAAAAGACAUCUCAAUUUAGCAACUGCAGGGACAUGUAUAUUCAACAUUUCAAUCAAUAGUAGUUCAUUUUUGUAGAACUCUUCUGAUAAUUCUCC
ensembl:lncRNA